CCCGCCUCCCCCACGCGCGCCCCUCCCCUCGCGCCCCUCCCGCGCCCUGCAUCCACUGCCAGGCGCAGGGGGCUCAGUCCGCAGCCGCAGUCGCCGCGCUUGGGCCUUGAUGCAGGCAGCGGCCGCCGCCACCGAGACAGCUGCGCGGGCGAGCAUCCCCAGGCAGCACGUUGGAAGUUGUUGUGAGCUGUAUCCAGCCCUUGCUGAAUACAUCCUAUUUUCCACACAUCCAGUGUGAGAUGCCACCAGCUACAAGGUGGGCACUAUGGCUGAGAAGUUCAAUUGCCACUAUUGCCAGGAAGCCUUGCAAGGGAAGAAGUACGUGGAGAAGGAUGGCCACCACUGCUGCCGAAGUGCUUUGACAAGUUCUGCGCCAACACCUGCCUGGAAUGCUGCAAGCCCAUUGGUGCGGACGCCAAGGAAGUGCACUAUAAGAACCGCUUCUGGCACGACACCUGCUUCCGCUGCUCCAAGUGCCUUCACCCCUUGGCCAAUGAGACUUUUGUGGCCAAGGACAGCAAGAUCCUGUGCAACAACUGCACCACUCGGGAGGAUUCCCCCAAGUGCAAGGGGUGCUUCAAGGCCAUUGUGGCAGGAGAUCAAAAUGUGGAGUACAAGGGGUCCGUCUGGCACAAAGACUGCUUCACCUGCAGCAACUGCAAGCAAGUCAUUGGAACUGGAAGCUUCUUCCCGAAAGGGGAGAACUUCUACUGCGUGACUUGCCAUGAGACCAAGUUUGCCAAGCAUUGUGUGAAGUGCAACAAGGCCAUCACAUCUGGAGGAAUCACUUACCAGGAUCAGCCCUGGCAUGCCGAUUGCUUUGUGUGUGUUACCUGCUCUAAGAAGCUGGCUGGGCAGCGUUUCACCGCUGUGGAGGACCAGUAUUACUGCGUGGAUUGCUACAAGAACUUUGUGGCCAAGAAGUGUGCUGGAUGCAAGAACCCCAUCACUGGGUUUGGUAAAGGCUUCAGUGUGGUGGCCUAUGAAGGACAAUCCUGGCACGACUACUGCUUCCACUGCAAAAAAUGCUCCGUGAAUCUAGCCAACAAGCGCUUUGUUUUCCAUGAGGAGCAAGUGUAUUGCCCCGACUGUGCCAAAAAGCUGUAAACCGACAGGGGCUCCUGUCCUGUAAAAUGGCAUUUCAGUCUUGUUCUCUGUGUCCUAUUCUCUGCCCUAUACCAUCUAUAGGGCAAAAGUGGUCUUUCACCUCUUUAAAGUUGCUCCUUCUGUCUUUUCUCCCAUUUUACAGUAUUACUUAAAUAAGGGCACACAGUUGAUCAUACUAGGAUUUAGCAAAAAGCAACCCUGCAGCAAAGUUAAUUUCUCUCCAGCUGCAGUUAAAAAACGAAAACUUAGAUAGAUGGACUCUUCUGCAUGUUUCUUAUAGAGCAGAAAAGUGCUAACCAUUUAGCCACUUAGUGAUGUAACCAAGAAGCAUAAGAGAUAAAGCCCCCACUGAGAUGCCUUUCAUGGCUCAGCUGGGACCCACUGUGUAGUCACACGACACGCAAGAGUUGCAGCGGCUGCUCCAACUCACUGUUCACCCUCUUCUGUGAGCAGAAAAGAACUUACUGACAUGCAUGGUUUAACGUCCUCAUCAAAACUCUUACCUUCCUUCUGUUCUUCUGUGCUUUCAAAUGACUAACAGGAAUUUCCAGAAAAUUAACAUUUGAACUUAGCUGUCAUUCUAAACUGACCUUUCCUAUGUACUAACUUUUGAUUUCCAUGUGUGGCAUGUUUUCUGACCGUUCCAACUUUAAAGCAUGGAACAUGCAGGUGAUGUGGAAAGUGUAGGCAGGUCUGAGAAAACAAGCCUGUUUCAGAGGAACAUCAUCACAGCGGAUACUUUCGGAAGCUUAACAAAACUAAUCCUGCUGUCCUUUUUAUUGUUUUUAAUUAAUAAUUUUUGUUUUCAUUAAUAGCAAAAUAUUUUAUGGGUUCGGAAACUUGCAUGAAAAUCUUCUAGCCCCCCUCAGAUGUUCCUGCAGUGUUGAAAUUCAUCCU